GCUUAACACAUGCAAGUCGAACGGGGUUAUAUUGUAGCUUGCUAUGGUAUAACUUAGUGGCAGACGGGUGAGUAAUGUAUAGGAAUCUACCUAGUAGUACGGAAUAAUUGUUGGAAACGGCAACUAAUACCGUAUACGCCCUACGGGGGAAAGAUUUAUUGCUAUUAGAUGAGCCUAUAUUAGAUUAGCUAGUUGGUAAGGUAAUGGCUUACCAAGGCAAUGAUCUAUAGCUGAUCUGAGAGGAUGAUCAGCCACACUGGAACUGAGAUACGGUCCAGACUCCUACGGGAGGCAGCAGUGGGGAAUAUUGGACAAUGGGCGAAAGCCUGAUCCAGCCAUGCCGCAUGAGUGAAGAAGGCCUUUGGGUUGUAAAGCUCUUUCGGUGAGGAAGAUAAUGACGGUACUCACAGAAGAAGUCCUGGCUAACUCCGUGCCAGCAGCCGCGGUAAUACGGAGAGGGCUAGCGUUAUUCGGAAUUAUUGGGCGUAAAGAGCGCGUAGGCUGGUUAGUAAGUUAAAAGUGAAAUCCCAAAGCUCAACUUUGGAAUUGCUUUUAAAACUGCUAACCUAGAGAUUGAAAGAGGAUAGAGGAAUUCCUAGUGUAGAGGUGAAAUUCGUAAAUAUUAGGAGGAACACCAGUGGCGAAGGCGUCUAUCUGGUUCAAAUCUGACGCUGAGGCGCGAAGGCGUGGGGAGCAAACAGGAUUAGAUACCCUGGUAGUCCACGCUGUAAACGAUGAAUGUUAAAUAUGGGAAGUUUACUUUCUGUAUUACAGCUAACGCGUUAAACAUUCCGCCUGGGGACUACGGUCGCAAGAUUAAAACUCAAAGGAAUUGACGGGGACCCGCACAAGCGGUGGAGCAUGUGGUUUAAUUCGAUGCAACGCGAAAAACCUUACCACUCCUUGACAUGGAAAUCAUACCUAUUCGAAGGGAUAGGGUCGGUUCGGCCGGAUUUCACACAGGUGUUGCAUGGCUGUCGUCAGCUCGUGUCGUGAGAUGUUGGGUUAAGUCCCGCAACGAGCGUAACCCUCAUCCUUAGUUACCAUCAGGUAAUGCUGGGGACUUUAAGGAAACUGCUAGUGAUAAACUGGAGGAAGGUGGGGAUGAUGUCAAGUCAUCAUGGCCCUUAUGGAGUGGGCUACACACGUGCUACAAUGG
rnacentral:rRNA from 1 species